rnacentral:rRNA from 1 species
UACGAAGGGUGCAAGCGUUGUUCGGAUUUAUUGGGCGUAAAGCGCGCGUAGGUGGACCUGCAAGCCAGAUGUGAAAUCUCGGGGCUCAACCUCGAAACUGCGUCUGAAACUACAGGUCUAGAGACUCGGAGGGGGAAGGGGAAUUUCGCAUGUAGGGGUAAAAUCCGUAGAUAUGCGAAGGAACACCAGAGGCGAAGGCGCCUUCCUGGACGAGUACUGACACUGAGGCGCGAAAGCGUGGGGAUCAAACAGG